rnacentral:rRNA from 1 species
GAAUAUUGGUCAAUGGCCUAACGGCUGAACUGGCAACUUGGAGAAGUGGCAAGUCUUCCAGUAUGGGGAGCAAAACAGCUAUGGGUCAAGUCCGAUAUCUUUAGGAGAAGUCUUAUUGUGAGGGCGAGUUAUAUAACACCAUAGGACUGGCCGUCCCAUAUGAAAAGAUUAUAUUAGAAUUGAAUGAAGCUUUGUUUAUAUAUUGAUAAUGACAGUAUAUAUAUCGUGUCUUGACUAAUUGCGUGCCAGCAGUCGCGGUAAUACGUAAGAGACUAGUGUUAUUCAUCUUAAUUAGGUUUAAAGGGUACCCAGACGGUCAAUAUAGCUUAUAAAAUGUUAGUACUUGACUAGAGUUUUAUGUAAGAGGGCAGUACUUGAGGAGGAGAGAUGAAAUUUCGUGAUACCAAAGGGACUCUGUAAAGGCGAAGGCAGCCCUCUAUGUAAAAACUGACGUUGAAGGACGAAGGCACAGAGAACAAACAGGAUUAGAUACCCAAGUAGUCUUUGCAGUAAAUGAUGAAUGCCAUAGGUUAGAUUGAUCAAUUAUAGUCUAGGGUUAGUCUAGCAAACUAAUGCCCUAUGAUAUAAUUCAAAAUAUCUGGUCUAUAAAUGAAAGUGUAAGCAUUUCACCUCAAGAGUAAUGUGGCAACGCAGGAACUGAAAUCACUAGACCGUUUCUGACACCAGUAGUGAAGUAUGUUAUUUAAUU